UACGUGGGUGGCAAGCGUUGUCCGGAUUUACUGGGCGUAACGCUCGCGCAGGCGGUCGGAUAAGUCGAAUGUGAAAGCCCCCGGCUCAACUGGGGAGGGUCAUUCGAUACUGUUCGACUCGAAGGCAGGAGAGGGAAGUGGAAUUCCCGGUGUAGUGGUGAAAUGCGUAGAUAUCGGGAGGAACACCUAUGGCGAAGGCAGCUCGCUGGGACGUUACUGACGCUGAGACGCGAAAGCGUGGGGAGCAAACAGG
rnacentral:rRNA from 1 species